rnacentral:rRNA from 1 species
AUUGAACGCUGGCGGCAGGCCUAACACAUGUAAGUCGAGCGAGCGGCGGACGGGUGAGUAAUGUCUGGGAAACUGCCCGAUAGAGGGGGAUAACUACUGGAAACGGUAGCUAAUACCGCAUACCAUCGGAUGUGCCCAGAUGGGAUUAGCUAGUAGGUGGGGUAAAGGCUCACCUAGGCGACGAUCCCUAGCUGGUCUGAGAGGAUGACCAGCCACACUGGAACUGAGACACGGCCCAGAAUCCUACGGGAGGCAGCAGUGGGGAAUAUUGCACAAUGGGCGCAAGCCUGAUGCAGCCAUGCCGCGUGUAUGAAGAAGGCCUUCGGGUUGUAAAGUACUUUCAGCGGGGAGGCGUUACCCGCAGAAGAAGCACCGGCUAACUCCGUGCCAGCAGCCGCGGUAAUUC